CUUCUAGAAAUUCCUUGAAUCUUGGCAUCAGCCAGACGUCACCUCUUGAUGCAAUAGACCUUUUGUUUAUAUAUGGAUCAAUCAAAAUCCUAGUGAUAAAAUUAUUAUCCAAUAGGAUGCAAGUUUCAUAGAUGAUCAGCUAAAUGCAUCUGAAGAGAGGGAAAAUUAGAAAGAGUCAAUCAGAAGAAAAGUCAAGUCGGUCAUUAUUCGUCUUACUGUAAAGUCGGUAACUAAGCAGGUACUAAGUAGGUAAUAAGUCUGUAUAUUGUAUUCUAUGAUGCUGGCAAUUAAGUAAUUAGUUCGUAUUCUGAAAUCUGUAAAGUCAAUAACCAAGUAAUAAUUCGGUAUUUUGCAUUUUGUAAAAUCAAUAAUUACCUAAUAAUACGUAUUCGGUAUUUCAUAAGAUCAAUAACAAGCUUGUAUUCCAAAUUUGAUCAAGAACCUAAUAAAAUUUAUAGGACUUUAUUCAAAAAUUAGUGAUUAUUCAAUUAGUAAAGCAACCUUUUCUCAAAAUACUUUUUUCAAAGCCAAUGGAUAUAUCUAAAAAACUGCUAAAUGAAUCGUUUUCAAAUUUACACAAAAUACACAAUAGAAAAUUUACACAAAAUCCUACUUUUUUUUUAAAUCGAUCUCAAUUUUUUAAUAAUUAUGUAGAAAUGAUGAUUUUUCUUAUAAAUUUUCCAUGUUCGAGUUUCAAUUCGUCAUCAUUUUGUAAAAAAUAAUCGAUUUUAAAAGUCCAACGUGACUAACGACUCGUUUUUGGUGUUAUCUUGAACCGUUUCAUUUGUUGAUUCCAAAUUCAUCGUUUAGCUGAAGAAUGUCCAUCUCCGAAUAUCUCCAAACAAAAAUUCAUUGUUUGAUGGCAGCCAUAUUUUUAUUAUUUUUUGAUAUUUUUGGAUAAUCUUUUUGAAAGCUCUCAAUACCUUCAAAUAAAAAAAAAAAUACGUCUCAUUUCUACCAAUCGUUUCUGAGAAAAAAAUUUCGAAUUCCGAAAAUUUUUCAAGCUUCUAAAUGGAUCGUGAUUCCUUCAAGACAUGUGUCCAUUUAAGAGUAAAACUAUCAGGAAUUGAUGUUGAGAGUAUUUCUUAUUUGUGGAGACUAUAUAAAAGUAAUUAUUUGAGAGCACGGUUCAACUAUAUGAGAACUGAUUGCGUUGUAGCAUACUCUCAAAUGGAAACAGAGGGAUAGCUCUUGGAGAGUUCUCUUGGAAAUACAAAUAAGCUUGGUAUUUUGACCCUGUUUAUACACAUCUGUAAACAAAUAUUCGUUAAUUCGACGAAUAUUAAUAAAUCCGUCAGAUUUUCCAAAUUCAUUAUGUCAGGAUUAAAAUUUAGAUAUUGCAUUACAUUUAGAUUUUAAAUUAGAUGUAUGUUCUUCGAUCCUUAAGGAAGCCAUUCAUUUGAAAAUUUCUAGCGACAGUUGUUCUCAAAAAUAUUCUCCAGUUUUGUAUCCAUUUGAGAGCAACCUUUAAAUUAAUUAAUAUUUAAUAUUUUAAAUUAAUAUUUUUUUCGUUUCAUAAUUCAGCUUUAAGGAAUGAAAUCAACUUUUGAAAAAAAAUCAAAAUUUUUUUUUCAUAAAAUAUCUCAGAAACAAUGGAGGAUAUCUGAAAAUAGCUUGAACAAAAGUUGCAUCGUUUCGUUGUGCCUAUUAAAGUUCGUAAACAGAAUUUUUGAAAUAUUCAUGAUUUUUGAGUUACCUAUCUAUAAUAUAAUAUUUUUAUUAAAACACUGGAAAACAGGGUUAGUCAUUCCUAUACAUAAAUCAAGGAAAAAGUCGACAACCAGGAAAUUAUAAACCAAGAGAAACACAACACAAUCCAACAAACGAGAAAAGUUAACACAUAUUAGCACAACAGAUAUUAGUACAAAUUUUAACAAAGGAAAUAAAACUGUAUUACUAUUAUUUGAUAUCAAAAAAGCCUUUUAUAAGACCUGAAAAUUUUAUUUACAUAAUUUAUAAUAUUUGUUAAAUAAUACGUUUUAAUUACUGAAUGGUUUUAACAAUUAAUAAUUUUCUUGUUAUAUAACAUGAAGUUAUUGUCAUUUCUUUAAUUUAUCAAUCUAGCACGUCCCAUAAGUUCUCAAUCGAGUUAAAAUCUGAUAACAGAGGUGGUGGAUAUAAUACUUUUGGAUAAUAUACUUUGGAAUUCUUACACAAUAUAUAUAUCUACUGAACAUAGGAUUGAAAAAAAUAAUAUUUUUUAUAUAAAUAGUAAAUUUACGAAAUAAAUUUUUUAUUUUAUUUUUUGUAUUCUUUAAUUGUACUGUCACCAAAACUUUCAUUAAAAAUAAUAAAAAACAUAAUAGAAACUCACAAUUAAUUCAAAAUAUUUACAUGAACAAGAGCUAAAAAAUCCAACAAAAAAGAGAUGAAAUUCAAGCUUUGCCCUCUGUGUGGAUGUCCAAAUUGAAUGAAUGAAUUCUUUACUUUUGCGAAGUCAAAUUUGAUGUCUAAUGAAAAUAGUUAACAAAAAGGAACAGUGAUUUUUUUGGAGCUUUAAGCAACUCUUUAAAUGUUUGUUUUAUUUUCUUAAUUAUAUCUACGUUAAGUAAGUUUUGCGAUCUAGAUUGUGUUAAGCUGUUCUAGAAAAAUAUAUUCUGAUACAUUUUCAUUAAGAUCUUUGUUGUCUUGUUGAGUAAUUUCCAUGAUAUAAUUGGGAACAUUAAUUAUAGAUAUUAUAUAUUCAUUUUGUAUCAAAAUGUAAGAAUAAAUUAUAUGAUUUGACUACAAAUAUAUUCUCAUAUUACACGAAGAAAUUCUUCAGUAGAAGAAAAAUGUAGAUAUACAUGCGUCUGGAACCUAAAUAAAUCAUAUACUUUUAAAAUAUAUUUAUAUAUAAAUGAAUUAAAAUUAACCAAAAUAGUCACGUAUACAAAGACUUUAUACAAACUUAUUUGAAAUAAAUCCAUUAAAUGAGAAGAUAAGAUAUCCCAAAUUCUUAUUGUACAAUCUAUAGGAGAUAUGAUUAAUUAUCUCGUAUCAAGACAAAAUAUUGCAUCUACUAGCUGUCCUUUAUGUCCACAAAAAUGUCUCAUUAUUUUUUUUAUAUUUAAAAAAUUUUUUUUAUAUUUAAA